UACGGAGGGAGCUAGCGUUGUUCGGAAUUACUGGGCGUAAAGCGCGCGUAGGCGGCUUUGUAAGUUAGAGGUGAAAGCCCGGGGCUCAACCCGGAACUGCCUUUAAGACUGCAUCGCUUGAAUCCAGGAGAGGUGAGUGGAAUUCCGAGUGUAGAGGUGAAAUUCGUAGAUAUUCGGAAGAACACCAGUGGCGAAGGCGGCUCACUGGACUGGUAUUGACGCUGAUGGUGCGAAAAGCGUGGGGAGCAACAGG
rnacentral:rRNA from 1 species